GAUGAACGCUGGCGGCGUGCUUAACACAUGCAAGUCGAACGAAACACUUUAUUUGAUUUUCUUCGGGACUGAUUAUUUUGUGACUAAUUGGCGGACGCGUGAGUAACGCGUGGGUAACCUGCCUCGUACAGGGGGAUAACAGUUCGAAACGGCUGCUAAUGCCGCCUAAGGGCACAGAAUCGCAUGAUGCUGUGUGAAAAACUCCGGUGGUAUAAGAUUGACCCGCGUUGGAUUAGCUAGUUGGUGAGGUAACGGCCCACCAAGGCGACGAUCCAUAGCCGACCUGAGAGGGUGACCGGAGACAUUGGGACUGAGACACGGCCCAAAAGCCUGCGGGAGGCAGCAGUGGGGAAUAUUGCACAAUGGGCGAAAGCAUGAUGCAGCGACGCCGCGUGAGCGAAGAAGUAUUUCGGUAUGUAAAGCUCUAUCAGCAGGGAAGAUAAUGACGGUACCUGACUAAGAAGCACCGGCUAAAUACGUG
rnacentral:rRNA from 1 species